rnacentral:ncRNA from 1 species
AACCACAAGGGGUGCCUAUUUUGGCUGAGAUUGGACAAGUUGUCCUGACCCUUAGAACCUGUAAGAUUAUUCUUGCGUAGGGAUGUGGAUG